rnacentral:pre_miRNA from 1 species
GUAAUACUCCCUCCGUCCGGAAUUACUUGUCAUCAAAAUGGAUGUGUCUAGAACUAAAAUACAUCUAGAUACAUCCAUUUCAAUGACAAGUAUUUUCGGAUGGAGGGAGUAGUAG